GACUGUAGGUGAAAGCUUACAUCUCUUCGGAGCAUUUUACGAGGUGCUGCAUGGUUGUCGUCAGCUCGUGCCGUGAGGUGUCGGGUUAAGUCCCAUAACGAGCGCAACCCUACCUUUAGUUGCCAUCAGGUAAUGCUGGGGACUCUAAAGGAACUGCCUACGCAAGUAGUGAGGAAGGCGGGGAUGACGUCAAAUCAGCACGGCCCUUACGUCCAGGGCUACACACGUGCUACAAUGGCCGAUACAGAGGGCAGCUACCUGGUGACAGGAUGCAAAUCUCCAAAGUCGGUCUCAGUUCGGAUCGGAGUCUGCAACCCGACUCCGUGAAGUUGGAUUCGCUAGUAAUCGCGCAUCAGCCAUGGCGCGGUGAAUACGUUCCCGGGCCUU
rnacentral:rRNA from 1 species